GGACUGUCCGAAAGCCGCUCACUUCAAAAUGUGCGAGUUCCCCCGUUUGUCCUCUUAAGGGCCGGCCAUGCCAAGCUCAACUGGGACGAACCUGCGGGUAGGGCCACCGGAUGACCCCCCUGGGUAGCUCCCUGGUGUGCCUCAGUACUACCGAUGUCACAAGCUGUGUGUGUUGUUACGAGCACCUGACCGAUAAACGCAGCCUGGUCUGAUCCAACUCAGUGACACAGACCUGCAGAGCGCUUGUGGGGGGCGGGGGGGGGGUCCUCAGUCCAAAAUUAAUUGCCUUGUUUGGCAGAGUCCUAAUGUACAACAGUUUUUCCCCAAAAUCAAGCCUUGCUGCCCAGCCACUCACUCUGCCAAUAUUUUCAACUUCAUCACCAACUGCUCUGUAACUCCAGUCCUCUACUCUAGCCUUCCACGGCUUCUAUCAAAUAGCCUCCAGGCAGGAAGUUGCAUCUUUGAAGACUAAAAUCCACAUUAUAUGAAAGCAGUGGCAUUGCCAGUCUUGCUGAGAGCUUUGUCACCUGUGCCUGGAGAAGUUUGUACUACACCCUAGGCUCUCAGGAUUGUUGCAUGAAUGAACACUGGAGAAGGAAGCUCAAGACCUAGGAGCAAAUAUCCCACCAUGAUGAUAUCCCACCUGUGACCCCAGUAUGGGGAUACAGAGGCAGAGAGUUCCUGAGGCUUGCUGACUGGCUCCUCUCAUAGCACCGGUGAGCGGUCAGUGAAUUAGUGAACUGCACAUGAGGAAGACGCCCAAUAUCGACCUCUUGCCUGCGUACACACACACACAUACACACACACACACACACACACACACAUAAUAAUAAUAAUAAUAAUAGUAACCAGAAGAAAAUACUAACUCAAAAAGCAUUCUUUGGGCUGGGGAGGCUGCUUGG